rnacentral:rRNA from 1 species
GAGUUUGAUCCUGGCUCAGAGCGAACGCUGGCGGCAGGCCUAACACAUGCAAGUCGAGCGCCCCGCAAGGGGAGCGGCAGACGGGAGAGUAACACGUGGGAACGUACCCUUCAGUUCGGAACAACCCAGGGAAACUUGGGCUAAUACCGGAUACGUCCGAAAGGAGAAAGAUUUAUCGCUGAGGGAUCGGCCCGCGUCUGAUUAGCUAGUUGGUGGGGUAACGGCCCACCAAGGCGACGAUCAGUAGCUGGUCUGAGAGGAUGAUCAGCCUCACUGGGACUGAGACACGGCCCAGACUCCUACGGGAGGCAGCAGUGGGGAAUAUUGGACAAUGGGCGCAAGCCUGAUCCAGCCAUGCCGCGUGGGUGAUGAAGGCCCUAGGGUUGUAAAGCCCUUUCGGCGGGGAAGAUAAUGACGGUACCCGCAGAAGAAGCCCCGGCUAACUUCGUGCCAGCCGCCGCAGUAAG